AGGCAUUGACUUGCGUUAUUGACAGCAGCGAUCAAUGCAUUUGGACCCUGAGUUUAUCAAGUAACUUGGAGUUACAUGUGAUCAAAUGAUUAAGGAUCUACGGUUAGUACCAUGGAGCUGCUGAGUGGUUUUAUUUGAAAAUUGAGUGUACAAAUAAUUAAUUUACUUAUCAAAUAGACAUAGUUCCAUUUGGCAGAAAUACGUCCAAAUAGGGCUUUGAGGCAGUUAAAAAUAGGGUAAUGGUAAUAUAAGUAAACGGUAUUUGGAAGGGCAGAAAACGAACAGAACAUGUUGUUUGGGUACCUACACCUCACUGGUAGGUUCCAGCAUAAUGAGGUGACGGAACUGACGAAUCGAGAAUAACUUUAUGACAUUUUUCUAUUUUCUCAUUUGUUAAGAGUGGUAAAAUUUAACUUUUCUCUAAUCGGUGAGUUCGUCGAAGGAAAAAUUCAAAGCAUAUGGGGUAUGUGCUCUUCUUUCGUUCAUAUGUAUGUACUUGUACAUUCUGAUUAAUUCUGAUGCACCUUAUUUACUGUUUCACUUUUUCUUGCAUUAUCAUUUAUGUACUUAAUUUUUGUUCAACCUUUUGCAUGCGAGUUAGCUUUGUCAUGGGUAUAUGCCUACCGUAUUGAAAGUUAUUUUACAAUUUUAAACAAUUUUGGAA